rnacentral:lncRNA from 1 species
GGUGAUUCGAGGUUGGCUUAGGUGGAGUGGCGGAUCUGUUGUAGCGUUCUUCGACGACGACGACGAUUUGGAUCUACGAGGCAUCAAAGAGAUUUGUCUUCCAACUAUUUAUCAGCAAGUCUUCCCCCCUGGGUAACCUCAAUAUCAGAUCUAGCUGAGCGAAGCAUCGCAUUCUCAAAGAAGGACCCAAAUAGUUUGAAGCCUGGCCCGGCGUUGAACAAAGAUGGCAUGCUUGAUCUCACCAUUUUUAUCUGUGUCCUUGAACGAAAGAAAGACGAGGUACCUGCUCCUUGUUCUAUUGCUAUAUCUCAGGUUUGUUUCAUGUGAUUCAAGUUAACAAAUACUUUCUCACCUAUGAGCCUCUUGGUUGUUUUGCUGAGCAACGAAGCUGAGACAAGUGCGAACUCACUCUAAAGUGAGUUCAACUACUCUGAAUCUGGUAUGUCCUGAUACAUGUUUGAUUGAAGGACUCUACUUAUUGAUGCCGUCAUGACUCAACCGAACUCUUGAAUUUAGUCAUUGUGCAACAGAGGUUAUUCGUAAGGAAGGAUUGCUGUAUCAAGGGAAGGGUUGCAACCUUGGGGAGGAAGAGUCUUGAUGUUAAAAUUUUGAUGGGUUUAUCUGUAAAUUUUUAUUUACUGUAGUUUGAUACAUUUUAAAAUACAGUAUACAGUACAUUAAUGUAGAGGUGCCAGUUGGCACCUUAUUUUUUUAAUCC